rnacentral:lncRNA from 1 species
AGAGCAGAAAGGAAAUGACCAUGAACUUGGCCUUAGAAAUUAGAAGUGAGUUAUAAAUUCCGAUAUGUUAGGUCAUUUCUUGGUGUAUGUAUUUAUAUGCAUGUUUUAGACUACGAACAAGUGAGAAUUACACAUAAGGGCAAAGCUCCAACUUAGAAGAUUGUACAAGCUUGAUUCGAGGUAGGUGAUGGUAUUGUAGUCAAUCUAACUUGCAUUAUAUAUGAACGCCAUAUUGUUUGGUAUGGUCAAUGAAAUGUUUUACUUGCUUAAUAAAUUAAUUGGGCUUGUUUCUGGAUGUGGAAUGUUUUGAUAUUUGGGAAGUUCUCAUGGGCUCUUAGUAAAAAAGGUUGGCAGACACUUGAGUUUGAGAUUAGUACAUGGACGAUAAUUGUUCCAUGCAAGUUGUGGCAAGAGGGAGGUUGAAAUUUUCUUAGCGUAUCUGUAUGGGGGUCAGGUGAGUUUGUCGGUUCCAUGAGUGGACCGGAGAAAUAUA